UAAUGUAUGGGGAUCUGCCUGAUGGCGGGGGAUAACUACUGGAAACGGUAGCUGAUACCGCAUAAUGUCUGCGGACCAAAGCGGGGGACCUCCGGGCCUCGCGCCAUCAGAUGAACCCAUAUGGGAUUAGCUAGUAGGUAAGGUAACGGCUUACCUAGGCGACGAUCCCUAGCUGGUCUGAGAGGAUGAUCAGCCACACUGGGACUGAGACACGGCCCAG
rnacentral:rRNA from 1 species